UUUACUUUUAGUUUUAUGUUUAAUUUUUAUUUAAUAAAAAUAAUUUUAAUAAUUAAUAUUUUUAGUAAAGUUUAUUGAAAAAAUUAAUUUAGUUAUAGUUAAAUUGUAUUGUAAAAGGUUAUUGAAAUAAAAUUUUAUUUUAAAAAAGUAUAAUUUAAUUUUAGUACCUUGUGUAUCAGGGUUUAUUAAAUAAAAAUUAUAAAUUUUAAUUUUCUCGAAUUUAAGAGAGCUAAUAAAUUAUUUUUUUUAUUGUAAAAAAAAUAUUUAUCAUAAUUUAUUAGUAAUGAGAUGUUAUUCGUUCUUAAAUAUAUCUAGUUUAUUUAGAAAUGAAUUUAAUUCAGAUAUUAUUACUUUAAUAAUUUAAUUUUUUAAAUUAUUAGAUUUAUUAAUAUUAAUAAUUAAAGGGAUUAGCUUUUAAUUAAAAAUUUAAAAAUUAAUAAAAUAUUUUAAAAAAUGUAGAUUUAGAAAUAGUCAUCAAUAAUAAUUUGUUAUAAUUAAUUUAUUUAAAAAUAUUAUUUUAUAUAGUUUUAAAUUUUUUAUAAAUAAUUAAUUUUUAAUUUUAAAAAUUUAGUUAUAAUGGUAGAAUUAGUAUAUAUUUAAUUUAUUUAAAUAAUAAUUUUUAAAAGAUUAUUUAAAGGAAUUCGGCAAAAAUUUUACUCGCCUGUUUAACAAAAACAUGUCCUUUUGAAUUUUUAUUUAAGGUCUAGUCUGCCCACUGAAUUUAUAUUUUAAAUGGCCGCAGUAUUUUGACUGUGCAAAGGUAGCAUAAUCAUUAGUUUUUUAAUUAAAAGCUUGUAUGAAAGGCUGGACGAGGUAGAAUCUGUCUCUAUUUAAAUUAUAAUAGAAUUUAACUUUUAAGUUAAAAGGCUUAAAUAUUAUUAAAAGACGAGAAGACCCUAUAGAUCUUUAUAAUUUAUUGGAUAAAAUUAAUUUAGAAGUAUUUAUGUUUUAUUUAGAUAAAUUAUUUUAUUGGGGUAAUAAAAAGAUUGAAUUAAUUCUUUUUUAUAAUAAACAUUUAUUUAUGAAUAUUAAAUGAUCCAGUUUUAUUGAUUAUAAGAUUAAGUUACCUUAGGGAUAACAGCGUAAUUUUUUUAGAGAGUUCAUAUCGAUAAAAAAGUUUGCGACCUCGAUGUUGGAUUAAAGAUUAUUUUAGGUGUAGAAGCUUAAUAAUUUUGGUCUGUUCGACCAUUAAAUCUUUACAUGAUCUGAGUUCAGACCGGUGUAAGCCAGGUCGGUUUCUAUCUUUAAUAAUAUAAAAUAUUUUAGUACGAAAGGACCAAAUAUUUGAUAUAUUUAUAUUUAUUUUAUUGAAUU
rnacentral:rRNA from 1 species